AAAUUUUUAUAUCAAAAUCUGUUGGUGAAUUUCUCUAAUCAACUGUAACAAGUUCAUCACCUAUUAAAGACGAUUAGCUGAAUCCCCGCAAAACCAUUUCAUAGAAGUUCAUUUUUACAUUCUCAAAGUAAAAGACGAGCUGCAGGUUUGUCAUAGACAAUUUUAGCACCCAAUACCUUUUAACAGACAACGUAAUGACCAAACAACUAGAAUGACACUUGCCUCUUUUACUUCCAAGUUCCACGUACAUUAGCUUACUCUAUUUUCAUAAUUUUUUUUACAUAACCUUGGCUAAGACUUAAAAGGCAGUAUAUUCAAUUCGUUUUGAACACCAUUUGUCUGAGCAACUGUACAUUCGCUUUGGAUCUAUCAAGUUUACANNNNNN
rnacentral:lncRNA from 1 species